CCUACGGGAGGCAGCAGUGAGGAAUAUUGGUCAAUGGACGGAAGUCUGAACCAGCCAUGCCGCGUGCAGGAAGACGGCUCUAUGAGUUGUAAACUGCUUUUGUACAAGGGUAAACCUGAAUACGUGUAUUCAGCUGAAAGUACUGUACGAAUAAGGAUCGGCUAACUCCGUGCCAGCAGCCGCGGUAAUACGGAGGAUCCAAGCGUUAUCCGGCUUUAUUGGGUUUAAAGGGUGCGUAGGCGGAUUGAUAAGUUAGAGGUGAAAUGUCCGAGCUUAACUCGGGAACUGCCUCUAAUACGGUUGAUCUAGAGAGUAGAUGCGGUAGGCGGAAUGUAUGGUGUAGCGGUGAAAGGCUUAGAGAUCAUACAGAACACCGAUUGCGAAGGCAGCUUACCAAUCUAUAUCUGACGUUGAGGCACGAAAGCGUGGGGAGCAAACAGGAUUAGAUACCCUGGUAGUC
rnacentral:rRNA from 1 species